UCUUAUGGAUGAGCAAAGAAAGUGACUUUUUUGAGAUGGAAUCUACUCCUGGUGAAGAUGACUGUGGA
rnacentral:pre_miRNA from 1 species